UAGCUUUCUUGUAGGGGAGCUGGUGCCAGAAAGAAGUUGAAAAUGUCACUCUCUCUGCCUUGUGGAAUUGGGACAAGUAUUGUUCUGGGAAGAAGUGAGAAAAAGGUGGAUUGAAAGCUCCUCAGAGCUUAGCACAAUGUGAACACAGCAGGCUUUUGCUCAUGUCUAAGAAUUAUGAUGUUUUAUUUUCAGGAAUAGAACUUGAUCAAUUUCAAGCCAGGAAAAAAAUUUUAACCAAGAAAAUCAGGAACUCAGGAUGCUUUUAUACUUUAUUCACUUAAAACAAUGAUAAAUAGUUCACUGUGUUUCAUGUCUUUAUAGCAAUCUGAUUUUUUUAAACUAC